rnacentral:rRNA from 1 species
AAAAUAAAAUUUGAUUUUAAAAAAAUUUAUUUUUUAAACUAGGAUUAGAUACCCUAUUAUUUUAAGCUUAAUGUUGGUAGUAAGUAAAAUUUAUGAAAUCAUAAAAUUUUGGCGGUAUUUUAAGCUUGUUAGAGGAAUUUGCUCUAUAAUGGAUACAACGCCUAUAUCUUACUUAAUUUUGUAAUUAAAGUCAGUUUGUAUACCACUAUAUUUAAUUAUAUUGAAUAAUUAUAUUUAAGAUUUUUAUAUAAAUAUAUAUUAAGUCAAGGUGCAACAAAUAAUUA